AGGCGUGUAGCUCAGUGGGAGAGCAUCUGCUUGACGUGCAGAGGGUCGGCGGUUCAAUCCCGUCCACGCCUACCA
rnacentral:tRNA from 1 species